rnacentral:rRNA from 1 species
CCUACGGGUGGCAGCAGUGGGGAAUAUUGCACAAUGGGGGAAACCCUGAUGCAGCGACGCCGCGUGAGUGAAGAAGUAAUUCGUUAUGUAAAGCUCUAUCAGCCGGGAAGAAAAUGACGGUACCUGAGUACGAAGCCCCGUCUAAAGACGUGCCAGCAGCCGCGGUAAUACGUAGGGAGCAAGCGUUAUCCGGAUUUACUGGGGGUAAAGGGAGCGUAGACGGCAGUGCAAGUCUGGAGGGAAAGGGGGGGGCUCAACCCCCGGACAGCCCUGGAAACUGUACGGCUGGAGUGCAGGAGAGGUAAGUGGAAUUCCUAGUGUAGCGGUGAAAUGCGUAGAUAUUAGGAGGAACACCAGUGGCGAAGGCGGCUUACUGGACUGUAACUGACGUUGAGGCUCGAAAGCGUGGGGAUCAAACAGGAUUAGAUACCCGAGUAGUC